UUUACUGUCCUAAUUCCUGGCCGUCCCCCUUACUGUGCUCAGGAGAAAGCCAGACUGUUCAGUCGGUUCCCUUGGUACAGACUUUUCCUCCCCCUCAGGCUAACCUAGCGAGCACCUUCAUUUCUCAUUUUACCUGAUUUCUUCUGCCUGUAACAGCUGAGCUUGAUUUUAAUGUCUCAUGGCAACUUGACAAGAGCAUCGAGCUCCGGUUUAUUUGCUUCUCUGAGGUGAUUUGGAAGAGUGUAUUCGUAUUUUAGGGCUGCCCUGAUGAAGUACCAUCAGCUGGGUGGAUCGUCUCACCGUUCUGGGGGCUACAAGUCCGAGUGCACAUUGGCGGCCGGGCCGUUUCCUUGGGAGGCCUCCGAGGGAUGGACCGUCCCAGGUUUCUCUCCUUGGUUUGUAGAUGGCUGUCUUCGCUGUGUCUCUUCACAGCGUCCUUCCUCUCUGCAUGUCCCUUUCUGUGUUGGAAUUCCCCUUUUUAUAAGGAUACCAGUUAUACUGGAUUAGUACCCACCACCCCAGUGAUCCCACUUUACAUUUGAUUUUACCUCUGUAAAGAGUCUGCCUCUAAAUAGGUCACAUUCUGAGCUACUGGGGUUUAGGGUUUCCACAUAAGAAUUUUGAGGGGACACAAUUCAAUCUGUAACAAGGAGGCCAGGGUUCAGUUAAGGCUGAAGCAAGGCUCCUCCCAUUCCCUUGAUCUCCCGCGCACUCACCAGCGAUUCUCACCUGUCCCCCAGCCCCUCCCGGCACCUCCCAGCUGGGGAAGGGAUGUGAUCGAAAAAUAGAACCUCUCUCCCUCUCAGUUCUAACUUCUGAACUGUAGGAUAAAGGACAUGAAGCUGAAAGGACAAGAUGAAAGAACGAUAAGAAGGGUGAACAUCCUGUAAAGAUGCUGAUUUCCUCCUAAGUGGCACGGCAUUAGGGGAAAAAGUCUGGGAGGGCUUUGUACUGAAUUUUGUCUUCCGUCCUCCUUCCCCUUAUCCCCUCCAUCAAGCCCUAGCCUAAGCCGAUGCACCCCCUGUAAAGUGGAGGUGAUAAUUGUGGUUCAAUCUCAGGGCAGUUUGGGGGAGCCAGCACAAUAACGAACUUGAAAGUGCCGGAAACACUUGUUGUUCAUAAGCUGAGCAUUUACUUCUAGUUUCUGGGUGCCCCUAAGCAGAAAGUCUCGGGGAGAGACGGGAAGGACAGAUGACAUCCUAGAGUCCGGUUUGGGGGAGGGCGAGGAGGAGAUGGAAGACAGAAGCCUUUGCCCAGCCACCAGCCUCACCCUCUCCAGACUCCCCAGCUGUGCUGCGUGGAGGCCCCCGCAGCCCCUAGGGUUGAGGAGAAGCAGCUCGGAGCCCAGUGGGCUCUCCGCCCACGGGCGGCAGGGCGUCUCCCGCUCCGUCCUGGGAGCCGCUGUCCCCCGUCCUCUGUCCUGCCCAACGUCACACUCCAGGUCAGAGGUGAGGUUCUGAGGUCAGGAGGGACGCCCCGGCACACCGAGUCCGCGCUUCCUGAUGACGUUAAGGAAGCCUCGGCCCGGGGAGGGGAGAGGUCUUACGUCAUCAUGCUGUGAACUGGCAGCAGAAGCCACAUAGAAGUGGGGUUUGGAACUUUCCCAUGGGUUUUGUUUUAUAUUCUGAAAGUUGGUCAAAGACAGCUAAAAAAUUGAAACAAAAGACCAAACAACAAGGAAGUGCAAAUAAACCUUAGCCGACCAACCAACCAAAAUUGGAAGGGGAAGGGGCUUUCUGAGUUUGUCCAGGAACAAGUUCACAAAACACUGUCACGUGGGCCAUCUUGUCUUCUCUCAAUCAUCUCAGAGGCAGACAUCAUUUAUCCACAUUUUGCAGACCAGAGUAAGAACCUGGCAUUAUAUUGUGCACUGAUGUCCACAGCACCUUAAAAGCAAGUAUGUCAAAAAGAAACCCUGAGCCGGCGGCCAGCAACAUCCCGGUUUUCGUCCAGUGUCUUCAGCUGUAACUGUAUCCACCGGUCCCCUUGCCUCUCUCCAUUGUUCCGCUUUCCCCAUUUGCAAAAUGGACCAUCCUCCCCUGCAGGAUGAACCAGGCUGCCGACGUGAAGUGCCAGCACGAAGCAUGCCAUAGGCGAGAUGAUAACAAACAUCUCUGGCUACUGGGUUAUAUGCAAGCGUCAGUUUGGAAGGUAUCAUUAGCUGGUAUUUCAUAGUAUUGUAUGAAACUUUUAAAAAUGUAUUUCUCCUUUGUAUGCCCCAAAUUAUUAUUUCUUCCUGUCUUUUGGGCAUUAAGGAAGGGGGCUACUGCUCAGGUCAGAUCGCUGAUAAAAGGAGGCCGAGUGGCAGUGGCUUCUGACUUUGGAAUACCUGCCCUCUGCUUGGUGCUCUUUCCAAGGGUAGAUCUGGGGCUUUGCUCCACUUCAGUGGGACGGCAGCUCCCUGAUGGGGGUCCGUGUCCUGUACUGGACAGAAACGCAGAGCCAGGAUGCUUCUCACACAGCAUCAACAGCAUCAUUCAUGGCCAGGAUUAUGACGAUGCCUGUGAUUUUACUGUGCCCUUGGGUGAGGAAUGAGGAGUAAAUGGGGUGUUGCCUCAGCAUACCCAAACCUUAGGGUUCAAGCCUCGUCUUUCACUGUUUUAUUAAGAAAAAAAUUGGAAAUAAUCUAGAUGUCCAUCAAGAAGGGAUAGGUUAAAUAAAUUAUGAUACAUCAUCAAAGAGGAUGAAAUAAAUUUGUGUGUGCUGCUAUAGA